UACGAAGGGUGCAAGCGUUACUCGGAAUUACUGGGCGUAAGGCGUGCGUAGGCGGUUUGUUAAGUCCGUUGUGAAAGCCCUGGGCUCAACCUGGGAAUUGCAGUGGAUACUGGCGAGCUAGAGUGCGGUAGAGGAUGGUGGAAUUCCCGGUGUAGCGGUGAAAUGCGUAGAGAUCGGGAGGAACAUCAGUUGCGAAGGCGGCUCUCUGGACCAGCACUGACACUGAGGCACGAAAGCGUGGGGAGCAAACAGG
rnacentral:rRNA from 1 species